UAGGUGGAGGCUACUCUGACCCCGUUUAACAAAGAACACAAGAUGGAUUCAUUCACUAGCUCCUCCACCUACUUGAAUAUUAUGAAAUCAACAAGCAUUUAUUUAACAAAAUCUUGAUUUGUGUCCCCAAUGUCGUGACCAGUUAUCUACCUAGGACUUCUUAACAGCAGUAGAGGGAAGCCUGCAAGUUCUGGGGGACAGUUGUCAUUUAACCCUCUUGAUUCUCCUGUGACCAAGAGGACACGAAGGAGUCGUGAAACCGCAUUACUGGAGCAGAGACAUUCCCCAACGUUCUGAUCAAUGAAAACUGACGUGUGAAAGAGGGAGCUCGAGAUUCUCAGGUUUUGGAGGCUAAGAAGUCAAGGAUCAAGGCAUUGGCAUCUGAUGAAGGCCCUUUUGCUGAACCCUGACCUGGCUGAUGUGAGAACAAGCCACCCAAACACUGCCUGUUAUGGACUGAAAAGGACAGGACUCCCCAAACUC